UAUUGAAGUCUUCAACGCUCUUUUGGAUUGAAGAUUUCGCGGUAUCUAACAACUUCUGUACUUCUGGAUUCUUUUCUUGAAACUUAAAACAAAAACGAAUAUUAAUGAAAAACUAGUUGGAAAAAAAGGAAAGAAAAAAUGGUGAAUCUGAAAAAGGGAUUUUCAAAGAGAAGGAAAAAAAAAAAAAAUUGUACGCCCUUGGCAUUGGCUUUCUCUUGCAAAUAUGCAAAAAAGUUAGGCGUAACAGGAAUUUCUGCUGGCGCUUGCUGUGCUUAAUUGACACUUUGUAUUGCGUGGAGUUUUCGAAUUGUCGGCUUCUUGACGAGCUUGGAAGAAGAGAGAGAGAGAGAGAAGGAGAGCAACUUUUAAAAAAGGGAGCUAGUUAGAAAAAGUCAAAAAGCGUAGCGAAGAAUUUGACUUUUCCUCAGGGGGCCACACACAGACUGAAUUAUCCAAAAAUCGAGAGAGACAAAAAUCUAACCCACUGACACACAUGGCUUCUAAUUAGCUAAAUUCUAUAAGAAUUAAAUACUCACAUGUCCAUUAUCAUCUAGUUGAUUGUUAGUCAAUUUGAGUUUGUCAAAUGAAACAGGCUGUUUCAUCCAAUGAGCACCACUCGCUGGACUAUCGGGAUGAACAUGAAUUCGCGGAGGCGAAACAGGAUCUGCUC